UACGUAGGGGGCAAGCGUUAUCCGGAUUUACUGGGUGUAAAGGGAGCGCAGACGGCCGGCCAAGUCUGAAGUGAAACCCCGCAGCUCAACUGCGGGCUUGCUUUGGAAACUGGUCAGCUAGAGUGUCGGAGGGGUAAGCGGAAUUCCUAGUGUAGCGGUGAAAUGCGUAGAUAUUAGGAGGAACACCGGUGGCGAAGGCGGCUUACUGGACGACAACUGACGUUGAGGCUCGAAAGCGUGGGGAGCAAAC
rnacentral:rRNA from 1 species